UUGGUUAGGAAAGCUGUAAAAUAUCUUUGCAUGCUGGCGAGAGAUGGCUUUAGUAUCGCCCAAGUGAACAUCGCAAUCACUUGAAUUGCUCGCCUUUCGACCCAUUGUCACUUGUAACGUUUGCACGAAAAAGGAAAACUUCUCGAAUUCGAGCUUGGCAUAUGCCUGAACUCUAUUCGUGCUUGAUGGUUGUUGCGUCGCAUUUUUUAUCUCUGCAACAGGCAUGCCUUAAUGACCCAAAGACUUCCUUUUUUUAUAG